rnacentral:rRNA from 1 species
AUUGAACGCUGGCGGCAGGCCUAACACAUGCAAGUCGAGCGAGCGGCGGGCGGGUGAGUAAUGUCUGGGAAACUGCCUGAUAGAGGGGGAUAACUACUGGAAAAGGUAGCUAAUACCGCAUACCAUCAGAUGUGCCCAGAUGGGAUUAGCUGGUAGGUGGGGUAACGGCUCACCUAGGCGACGAUCCCUAGCUGGUCUGAGAGGAUGACCAGCCACACGGGAACUGAGACACGGCCCAGACUCCUACGGGAGGCAGCAGUGGGGAAUAUUGCACAAUGGGCGAAAGUCUGAUGCAGCCAUGCCGCGUGUGUGAAGAAGGCUUUCGGGUCGUAAAGCACUUUCAGCGGGGAGGCGGUACCCGAAGAAGAAGCACCGGCUAACUCCGUGCCAGCAGCCGCGGUAAUUC